CCGGUCCUCUCGCUCCGGCCCCGGGAGACCGCGACCCGCAGGCGUGAGGCGGCGUGAGCCGCGGCUUCAGGGUUGUCUACAUACCCCGCUGCGCGCCGUCGUUUUGUGCCUGCGGGAAAAGUUCGCGCCGUGCGCGCCUCCCGCCCGCGGCAACGGGGCAUGGCCGCAGCGGUCGCGUUCCCGGGACGGAUCUCGGCCGGGAGGAACGGCCGCAGCCUGCGGUCGCCGCUUCACUGCAGGUAAGGUCGGGUAGGAAAAAAGCAAAUAGCGACAAAGGUGCUUUGCUACAGCGGCCAUCGACAGCGCGAGAAGGCGACCCGUGUUCACGAGAAGACAUUUUCAAGAAACCGAACAGGUCAGAGAUCGCAGCGGAAGCGAGGGCCAACUUUUGUACUUCGUGAGAACAGGAUAAAUCCCAACAGAACCAGCGAAGCGAGGCAGGCAGGGAAGUUACCACCAUGCGGAAGCUCUGAGGUUUACGGGCUGUUGGCACAGGCACUUAAAAAAAAAAAAAAAAGGAGGGGGAGUUAAGGAGCCUUGGCCUGAGCCAGCCCCGGCCUGGCCAUCGGGAAAGCGGAGGGGGCUGCGCUGCACAGCUGCAGCCCUUGGCGCUGCGCACCUGGUAUCCUCUUUUUUCCUUUUUCUUGGGUUUUUUUUUUUUUUCUUCAUCGUCUCAAACUCAGCCGGGGCUGAAGUGCACUUCAAGAGCCAAGAACUGCUCUUUAUAAGCCGUAACAGCUGAGAUUAAGAUGACGCCGUAGCACAACAAACACCCGAGUUAGUUCAGGAUGAACUACAUAGAACAGCAUCUUCAGAACUCAGAAACGUUUGCUUCCUUUCCCCAGUCAACACACGCAUUUUGAAGUCAACAUUAUUUCUAAAUAGAGCUGAUCUCAGCAUAAAGAAAUAUGUGCAGGCAGAAAGAUGCCAUUGUUUUCCGUUUCCUCUUGAGCCACUGUGGCUGUGAUUUUCAUUGUGGCAGAGGAUCUUCAUUAGUAUUAACACAUGGGUAGACUUCAUAAAGCUGCUUCAUUAGCAGGGAAAAAAAAAAGCUUGGCAGCCGUGCUCUUUUUGCAUGAGAUGAGAAUGUCAGCCUUACCUCGGUCAUUUGUAACAUAAUAAGUGCAAGCACAAUGAUUGCAAUGCGGGAACACUGGGGGAAGGGCAAAAAUGCUGCAUAAUACAAAUACAAGAAAAAAAAGGUGCUCAUUAUACAGUAAAACAUGUGCUAAAAAUUAGUGAAGAUGACAUCUCAUGAGACUUCAUGCGAAAUAAAUUAAUGUGCUGAUAUGUUUUUAAUUAUUAUUUUUGUACCAGCUUAUUUCAUUCCCAGGAUUCACAUCAGGCAGCAAAGGCUUGCUAGCAUUUAUUGAUUUCCCCCCCCCCCCCCCCCGCCACAUUCCCAGAAUGCAGGCUUUAAUCAUUUCACUGCACCACACUCAGUAAUUUCAUUAAAAACUGGAACCUUCCAUCUUCAGAAAGGCAUUUAAUUUCAAUGACACACAAUUUCUCUUAGCAGCAAACCAUCUCAACAGUAAAAGCUGGCCUAAGGUUCAAAUGCAUAAUUUAGUCCUGAGUUCCCCAUGCUCUGCAUUCCUUUGAAGCUGUAAUUUGACUAACUACCUAAUAACUGUAAUAAGGACAAUGAUUUCCUUAUAAUAUGUUAUUAACCCAUAUUUAAUGAACUCAGAGGCCAAGCUCUGUACAUGUUUGGGUCAGUACCUCUCUAACCUCAAAAUUUUCUAACGAUGUUCUUAGGAAAAAAAAGCAUGGGAUAAGAGUGAGUAUAUACCUAUACUCAUGCCUGUUUUGCUCAAGAUAAUAAUAUUGUAACUUACAUAACAGGAUUCUACAACAAGAGAAACAAGCACUGCAUGAAGCUCUCUUUGUUCAGGACCAAAAAAAUCAAAGCCACAUUUUCUCUGACCAAGGUAGUGUUCUCCUUUUUUCCUGUUUUUUAGUCACAAGGGUUCAGAAAAGACUGCCUCAAAAUUCAGUGUGAAUCUGCAGUAAUUACACCCACAAGUGAAAAGAAAUGCUUUCAGGAGAGUACCGCAGCUGUUACGUAGCAGACAUCAAAAUUACACAAUUGUUCAGGACAGGAAGUGAUGGCAUCUCUCAUUAAACUAAAACUAAACAGGAAAUAACUUUACAUAAUUAGCCAACUUGAAAUCUGGCCAGGUCAUAGGGAUUAAGAACUCUUAGAAAAGUUCGGCUCACUCUGUGUUAAUUGGCCAUGAGCAUGAUUUCAAAGCAGAGAACAUUCCAUACUGCAUAUGAUGUAGAGUACACACCAAAAAAAAGGUUAUAUAUGUACAAACUGACAAAAUAAGCUUCUUUUCAGCUACUAAAGGUACGUUAGCUUAAGAUUGAAGGUUUAAAUAGUUCUGUUCCUAACAUACAUUUUAGUUGGCUACCAUUAAGUUACACUAACUAAUCUUCAGCAUUUUAAAGUACAAUGAAGAAUUUCUUUCCAACACUUUCAAUACCACAAUAGAAACAAC
rnacentral:lncRNA from 1 species